CCACUUACCUGGCAGGGGGAGACCGUGGUCACGAAGGGGGUUCUCCCAGAGUGAAGCUUCUUCAUCACACUCUAGAGUUGCUGAUCCCUGUGAUUUCCUCAGUGUGGGAAACGGUGUUUGUGCUGGAAGAGGCUGCACUCUUU
ensembl:snRNA U1 U1 spliceosomal RNA